rnacentral:rRNA from 1 species
UACGUAGGUGGCGAGCGUUGUCCGGAUUUACUGGGCGUAAAGAGCUCGUAGGCGGUCUGUCGCGUCGAUCGUGAAAACUUGGGGCUUAACCCUGAGCUUGCGGUCGAUACGGGCAUGACUGGAGUUCGGCAGGGGAGACUGGAAUUCCUGUGUAGCGGUGAAAUGCGCAGAUAUCAGGAGGAACACCGGUGGCGAAGGCGGGUCUCUGGGCCGAUACUGACGCUGAGGAGCGAAAGCGUGGGGAGCGAACAGG